ACAUGCAAGUCGAGCGGAACGAUGGAAGCUUGCUUCCAGGCGUCGAGCGGCGGACGGGUGAGUAAUGCAUGGGAAUCUGCCCGAUAGUGGGGGAUAACCUGGGGAAACCCAGGCUAAUACCGCAUACGUCCUACGGGAGAAAGCAGGGGAUCUUCGGACCUUGCGCUAUCGGAUGAGCCCAUGUCGGAUUAGCUUGUUGGUGAGGUAAUGGCUCACCAAGGCGACGAUCCGUAGCUGGUCUGAGAGGAUGAUCAGCCACAUCGGGACUGAGACACGGCCCGAACUCCUACGGGAGGCAGCAGUGGGGAAUAUUGGACAAUGGGCGAAAGCCUGAUCCAGCCAUGCCGCGUGUGUGAAGAAGGCCCUCGGGUUGUAAAGCACUUUCAGUGGGGAAGAAAGCCUCGGGAUUAAUACUUCCGAGGAAGGACAUCACCCACAGAAGAAGCACCGGCUAACUCCGUGCCAGCAGCCGCGGUAAUACGGAGGGUGCGAGCGUUAAUCGGAAUUACUGGGCGUAAAGCGCGCGUAGGCGGUCUGAUCAGCCGGUUGUGAAAGCCCCGGGCUCAACCUGGGAACGGCAUCCGGAACUGUCAGGCUAGAGUGCAGGAGAGGAAGGUAGAAUUCCCGGUGUAGCGGUGAAAUGCGUAGAGAUCGGGAGGAAUACCAGUGGCGAAGGCGGCCUUCUGGACUGACACUGACGCUGAGGUGCGAAAGCGUGGGUAGCAAACAGGAUUAGAUACCCUGGUAGUCCACGCCGUAAACGAUGUCGACUAGCCGUUGGGGUCCUUGAGACCUUUGUGGCGCAGUUAACGCGAUAAGUCGACCGCCUGGGGAGUACGGCCGCAAGGUUAAAACUCAAAUGAAUUGACGGGGGCCCGCACAAGCGGU
rnacentral:rRNA from 1 species